GCGAUGCCUCCCACUGAAGAGCUGGUGAAGGAGCUGUGUAAGCCAGCACUGCUCCAGAAGCUUCUGAAUGUGGAAAGCCUGCCAGUGCUCUGGCUGGUGCUCAGACGUCUCGUGCUGCUGUCGGAUAGACCUGAGACGGCAAUUGAAAUCCGGGCCCUGCUUCCAGGCGUCAUGGAGAACCUGCUGUUUGCCAACACAGCCAUUACUGUGAAGGUGCUGAAUAUCUUCAGGAAUGCAAUGCACCAUCUGGGGAAGAGGCACGCCAGUCCGUUUGCUCUGGAGCUGGCUGAGAAGAUCCUGCCUCUUUUUAAUCACGUAAGUCUGUUGUGGGAGGCUGAGCUCUGCGGGUGGGUGCUUGACAGGAGCGUCUUCUCCUUUCUUUCCUUCUCUGGGCUCUCAGGAAUGAGAUGUCCUGUGGGCUCUGUAGCACUGCUGGCCGUGUCCCUGCUAGUGCAGCUUGGUUGUUCUUGGUGAUGUCAGGCCCCUGUGCUGGGGCUCAGCCUACACUCAUGCUCACCAUGGGCAGUGAGAGUGUGCUACUGAGGUCUGACGUCCUCCUGUUCUCCCUCAGCGUCAUUCUGAGUGCGAGAAGGUUCCAUCCGCCUCUUCAGGAUGUGAUGGAUGCUGUGCUGUGGUCUCGAAGGGAAGCAUGAAGAAGACCGUGCGCAGGGCCCUGCUCCCUCUGCUCUUUCACAUGAGUGACGAGACCCCGAGCGUAGCACAGGCAUCUGGGGAAGCCCUUGUGUCCUGUGCAAAGUUCCUGAAGUGGAAGGAGCUCAAGCAGCAGGCCCGGCAGAAGAACACAGUGGGGAUCAUGAAGUGUUUGCUGCAGCAGGACAGAAAGGGAGUGGAAGGCCACCUGCAGCAGAGCCUGCCAUACCUGGAGGAUUCUCAGGCCUCCUUGCGAUGCGAGGCUGUCAGAUUCAUUGGGCUGAUUGGGAAGCACUCCAGGGAGCAGAGUGAGGAGAUGCUGAAUGAACUCUGCAGUGCCCUUCAGCCUUUGGAAGAUGACCCCCAUCUGGCAGUCCGUGUUGUGGCAUCUGAGACCAUCCAGAUACUGCGACAACAAAGGCAGAAGGCGGCACCAGCACGGAGAAGGCUCCCAGCACUUUUCCGCUGGUCCUGCAUAGCCUUCUGAGGGAUAAUUCUUGUUCAUUAACGUUGCUAGGACACCUGUACAGCAACGUUGCUGGGACAUGUGUUCCUGUCACGCAAGACAGACCCCCUGAACAACAGCGGGAGCCUUGGAGCACAGACAUCUUGGAAGAAAGAACAGGAACCAAGCUGGUUAGAACUGGGUCUGUAGUUAGCGAUUAAUUAAAUUGAAAAGCACAAUUGAAAGCCUUUGGAAGGAAGAUCUGGAGAAUAUGACCACUAGAGAGCAGCACGUAUGCACACAGACGCAGAACUGAUCAUAAUUUCUCUGACUUAUCUGGAACUCAUCAUAUGAGUUCUUGGAACUUAAACCAGCACGCAGAAAAGUUAUGGUUUUCCAAGCUUCUGCAAAGCCAAAAUGCUUGACAGCAAAGCUCUUGCUUGCUUGCUUAUAGUGCUGUGUACCUCUGCAUUAGUGUCACGUGGAAAAAGACAAAAAACCACAUUUUCUUUUCCUAUGUCUUGGAGAGCCAGGAAUCCAGAAUUCAACAUCUUUGCUUUUGAGUUUGCAUUUCAAAACCAGAUUAGAAAGGAUUCUGCAAACUUUCUCUGAUGACAUUUGACUCUUCAAACAACAACAAUACUACCGUUUCUAGUACUACUAAUAAAAGCAACGCAACAACAAAACA
ensembl:lncRNA